GAUGAAGAACGUAGCGAAAUGCGAUAAGUAGUGUGAAUUGCAGAAUUCAGUGAAUCAUCGAAUCUUUGAACGCACAUUGCGCCCCUUGGUAUUCCAUGGGGCAUGCCUGUUCGAGCGUCAUUUGUACCUUCAAGCUUUGCUUGGUGUUGGGUGUUUGUCUCGCCUUUGCGUGUAGACUCGCCUUAAAACAAUUGGCAGCCGGCGUAUUGAUUUCGGAGCGCAGUACAUCUCGCGCUUUGCACUCAUAACGACGACGUCCAAAAGUACAUUUUUACACUCUUGACCUCGGAUCAGGUAGGGAUACCCGCUGAACUUAAGCAUAUCAAAAGCGGAGGA
rnacentral:misc_RNA from 1 species